AUCUCCGGAAGUCAAGCAAUCUCGGGCUUGGUUAGUCCUUGGAUGGGUGACCCCUUGGGAAUACCCAGUGGGAUAAGCA
rfam:Ciona savignyi cont_37950, whole genome shotgun sequence.